rnacentral:piRNA from 1 species
UAGCAACCAUGCUGUUGAACGUAAAUGGAU